GUAGGGGAACCUGCGGCUGGAUCACCUCCUUUCUAAGGAUGAUCCUUCAGCGAGCUCACGCUCACUAUCGGAUCGUUUUAGAAACAUCAGGGGCCAACAGAUCGCCAGAUCGUUGAGCUCCAUUGGCGGGAUUUCGCCGUCUUCGUUUCUCUUUCUUCGCGGACGAACACGCGCCGGGGCUGCGCUGUGCGAUUGCAUUCGGCGCUGGUCGCCGGCUGCUGCACGCCGAGACCCUAGUCCUUGAUAGGAUAGCGUUAGGGGCUUGUAGCUCAGUUGGUUAGAGCGCGCGCUUGAUAAGCGUGAGGUCGGAAGUUCAAGUCUUCCCAGGCCCACCAGCCUUCGCGCUUCGCUGCUUCGGCUAGGCAAGCCCUUCGAUACGAAGGCUGUCGCGCUGUAGCUUUGGCGAAGGCGGGCUAAUCAAUCGAGCAUUCGUCUUCUGGUUACGGGGCCAUAGCUCAGCUGGGAGAGCGCGUGCUUUGCAAGCAUGAGGUCGUCGGUUCGAUCCCGUCUGGCUCCACCAGAUGGUUUGAUCACCGAGAUCUUGACCGUCGUCCGCGAAACAUCACUUCGCACCUACUAGUCUGGAUAGACAGUAACGUGCGUGAUUUCUGACAUCGUAAAGAGGAGAUCGAUCCGAGUUGGAUCGUGCAGGAGAUUUCUGCGCGAGCCUUCAUUAUCUCCGGAUCAUUUCGGCGCUCGCUUUCAACCGUGAGGUUGGCUGCGAGUUGUAAAUGAUCCUUUUAGCGAAGCUUGACCGCCUCGCUAUCGGAACGAUCUUACGAAGCAAGCUGGUCUUUCUAGUCAAUGUCCGGCUGCAGAUAGCGUUCAUCGAGGGCGCGUGCCUUAGAGAUUUCGAUCUCUUGGCAGUUCUGCAGACAACAUUCUGCCGAGUGUGUGGACAUUGAUAAUGAGAGC
rnacentral:tRNA from 1 species